AUUGAACGCUGGCGGCAUGCCGUACACAUGCAAGUCGAACGGCAGCACGGGAGCUUGCUCCUGGUGGCGAGUGGCGAACGGGUGAGUAAUACAUCGGAACGUACCCAGGAGUGGGGGAUAACGUAGCGAAAGUUACGCUAAUACCGCAUAUUCUGUGAGCAGGAAAGCGGGGGAUCGCAAGACCUCGCGCUCUUGGAGCGGCCGAUGUCGGAUUAGCUAGUUGGUGAGGUAAAAGCUCACCAAGGCGACGAUCCGUAGCAGGUCUGAGAGGAUGAUCUGCCACACUGGGACUGAGACACGGCCCGGACUCCUACGGGAGUCAGCAGUGGGGAAUUUUGGACAAUGGGGGCAACCCUGAUCCAGCCAUGCCGCGUGAGUGAAGAAGGCCUUCGGGUUGUAAAGCUCUUUCGGCGGGGAAGAAAUGGCAACGGCUAAUAUCCGUUGUUGAUGACGGUACCCGCAUAAGAAGCACCGGCUAACUACGUGCCAGCCGCCGCUGUAACAC
rnacentral:rRNA from 1 species